CGGGCAGGGCCGCGGGCGCGCACGGCCCCCGCCGGAGCCUUGUUUGCCUCACGCCUGGGAAAGCGGCGAGUGCCGGUGGGCGCGGCAGGGCAGCGCUGGUCCCUGGGCAGACAGAAAUAUCAAAGAGGAAAACUACAGAAAUACAUGGCUAAAUCCGUUUUUUCUCCAUGAGGCUAUGGAGAAAAGUAUUCCUUGGAAUUGGCAAAUGAUAGGAAUAGAUGGAAUAGGAAAUUAGAAGAGAUCCAUAUUGCAGGGCAGUGUGUCUCGCUUGCUCACAGGGAGUCACACUGACACAGUAUGAUGGAUAACCAACUCAACGUGAACUGCCACUCCAAGCCUGGGGUCACGGGGCAGAUGAGACUCUUUGAUGUACAGAUGGGACACUAACCAGAAGUGGCCCGUUCUGGCAACAGAGAACAAAGGACAGAUGGUGCCUACCCAGGCAGUGAAUCGUACAGAUGAAAUACAAGGGAACGAAAAAAUAUUAGGAGCAUCUGUAUCAAAUCUGUGUCCAUAGAUGACAUCCAUGAAUAGCAUAUAGUGUUAAUUCAGUUGUAUCAAAUUAAAAAAUAAUUCAGUGGCAGAGGAGACUGUGAUUUUUCAUGUCUAGGAAGGUCAAACUACUAAUUAAAACAGUAGACUGAUUUUGAAGACUUGGUUAUAGAUAAUGGUUGUGUCUGGCUGAUUGUGUGAUCUUAAACAAGCCUCUUAAUUCUUGUGCAAAAGGGCACUUUCUUUAGUGUACCUAAUAACAGCUCUGAUAUUAAGGUUCAGUUUAUCACUGCUCCUACAAAUCUCAAAAGUUAUAGAAAGUGUUAUUUUAAUUUUAAUCUACACAUUUCAAAUAUUUUGGAUUGACUUACUUUUCAAAUAAAUUAGCAAUGUUUGGCAUUAUCAACAUUUCUUUUAAGGCAACUCACGUUUGUUGUUUUUUUUCAGUUUCUUCUAAAGAAAUAUGCGUAUUUGCUGUGGUUCAUAUUGGCCCCAAAUCAUCGUUUUGAAGCAUUUUAAAGUGACUUAAAUCUCCUAGGACAAAAUAGCCACACAUGUUUAAUAUUUUUCUCCCUCUUGUACUGAGUUGCUAAAUAAUGAGUUUUGUCUAGGUGCUUUUAAAUAAA